rnacentral:rRNA from 1 species
GACGAACGCUGGCGGCGUGCCUAACACAUGCAAGUCGAACGAGAAUCAAUGGAUGGAGUUUUCGGACAACUGAAAUUGAGGAAAGUGGCGGACGGGUGAGUAACGCGUGAGCAACCUGCCUUGGAGUGGGGGACAACAGAGGGAAACGGUUGCUAAUACUGCAUGAUGCAGCUGGGUCGCAUGGCCCUGGCUGCCAAAGAUUUAUCGCUCUGAGAUGGCCUCGCGUCUGAUUGGCUAGUAGGCGGGGUAACGGCCCACCUAGGCGACGAUCAGUAGCCGGACUGAGAGGUUGACCGGCCACAUUGGGACUGAGACACGGCCCAG